CACGAGUUUGAUCAUGGCUCAAGAUUAGAACGCUGGCGGAAUGCUUUACACAUGCAAGUCGAACGGUAGAGGGGCAACCCUUGAGAGUGGCGAACGGGUGAGUAAUAUAUCGGAACGUGCCCAGUCGUGGGGAUAACGUAGCGAAAGUUACGCUAAUACCGCAUACGAUCUAAGGAUGAAAGCGGGGGAUCGCAAGACCUCGCGCGAUUGGAGCGGCCGAUAUCAGAUUAGGUAGUUGGUGAGGUAAAGGCUCACCAAGCCAACGAUCUGUAGCUGGUCUGAGAGGACGACCAGCCACACUGGAACUGAGACACGGUCCAGACUCCUACGGGAGGCAGCAGUGGGGAAUUUUGGACAAUGGACGCAAGUCUGAUCCAGCCAUUCCGCGUGCAGGAUGAAGGCCCUCGGGUUGUAAACUGCUUUUGUACGGAACGAAAAGGUUUCUAUUAAUACUAGGAGCUCAUGACGGUACCGUAAGAAUAAGCACCGGCUAACUACGUG
rnacentral:rRNA from 1 species